GUUGUAGCGCAACUACGGACUAGGCCCUAGUCACUAAGGGGCGUAGGGUUCAUUACGAGACGGACGGACUAUGAGGUUUUGCCACCGAUUCCAACAAAGGUAGCUCGCUGCAGCACCGUCAUCAACCGUUUGACGUAGAGCGAAGUGAAACAUCAUCAGUCUUAUAGCGACCGCCGAGGGGUGCAGAUCUGCCUGCUAAACAUACAUACUCUUAGUUUAUUUUCUGCGUUCAUUUAAUUUGCUAUAUUAAUCUUCUUAGCUUAUUGAAUAAAUUCAUUAGGAG